rnacentral:rRNA from 1 species
GACGAACGCUGGCGGCGUGCUUAACACAUGCAAGUCGAACGCUGAAGCUUGGUGCUUGCACUGGGUGGAUGAGUGGCGAACGGGUGAGUAAUACGUGAGUAACCUGCCCUUGACUCUGGGAUAAGCCUGGGAAACUGGGUCUAAUACUGGAUACGACAUGUCACCGCAUGGUGGUGUGUGGAAAGGGUUUUACUGGUUUUGGAUGGGCUCACGGCCUAUCAGCUUGUUGGUGGGGUAAUGGCUCACCAAGGCGACGACGGGUAGCCGGCCUGAGAGGGUGACCGGCCACACUGGGACUGAGACACGGCCCAGACUCCUACGGGAGGCAGCAGUGGGGAAUAUUGCACAAUGGGCGAAAGCCUGAUGCAGCGACGCCGCGUGAGGGAUGACGGCCUUCGGGUUGUAGACCUCUUUCAGCACGGAAGAAGCGAAAGUGACGGUACGUGCAGAAGAAGCGCCGGCUAACUACGUG